UAGGGAAUAUUGGGCAAUGGACGGAAGUCUGACCCAGCCAUGCCGCGUGCAGGAAGACGGCCUUCUGGGUUGUAAACUGCUUUUGUAUGGGGAUAAAAAGGCGCUGCGGCGCAAAUUGCAGGUACCAUACGAAUAAGCACCGGCUAACUCCGUGCCAGCAGCCGCGGUAAUACGGAGGGUGCAAGCGUUGUCCGGAUUUAUUGGGUUUAAAGGGUACGUAGGCGGCAUGCUAAGUCAGUGGUGAAAUCCUGCGGCUUAACCGUAGAGUUGCCAUUGAUACUGGCGAGCUUGAGUACAAUUGAGGUAGGCGGAAUUUAUGGUGUAGCGGUGAAAUGCAUAGAUACCAUAAAGAACACCGAUAGCGAAGGCAGCUUACUAAAUUGAGACUGACGCUGAGGUACGAAAGCGUGGGUAGCGAACAGGAUUAGAUACCCCCGUAGUCC
rnacentral:rRNA from 1 species